UAUAACUAAAAUUUUAAUCAAAUUAGUUAUGUAGUACUAUAAUAUAUUUUUCCUUUACACAUAUGAUCAUAUAUAACCAUUAUAUAGAAUAUUAAAUUAUAUAUAAUUAUACAAUAAAUCAUAGUUGUAGAGCCUGCUUUAAGGCCUUUUAUUGUGCUUGUUAAUGUGAAAUGCUGUCUAAAUAAAGCGCAAUGCAACCAAAUAAUAAAAACCAUACACUGUAACGAAUUGCUGUAAAACGUACAGCGUUAUUUUACAGAAGCUGAUUGUAUUUUAAAUAAUACAGAAUAUUGCUGUAAAGUGCAAUGCAUUCUGGGGUCAUGUGACGGAUUAACUCAAUGUACAGAAUAUUGCUGUAAAUUUCAAAUCUACAAUGGCGGGAUGAUCUUCAACAGUCGAGAUUGGGGUAGUGCUCAAAAUGAAUGAUUCACACCUGUGGACACACUUUGCCAUGCAGGCCACUGGAUGCUGACUACUGAAGGUUAGGUUGUGUGUGACGGUGCUCAGCACAGCUUCAUGUCUGGCCUUCCCACUCUGUUCAUAGCAUGUUACAUAUUCAGGCUUGAGUACCAGGAUGGGACAGCAUGUACUUGGAGUCCAAUGAAAGAUAUUAAUCCAGAGAGUGGAACAAGAAGAAGCGUCAUCUAAAAUGCCAGGAUACAGAAGAAACAGGUUGCAGUGAACCCACAUGUCGCCGCUCUUCUAAACACAAUGAUGAAUAUUCAGUGUAAUCGAUGAAAAUUCCAGCUACUUGUUGUGCUCUGAUGGAUCAAGAUGGUGACCGUUUUACAGACUCACUUGGGCCUUGUUUUGCAAUGUUGUUUCAUGAUGGUAAUGUUGGUUAACGUGUUGUUUAAACAUGAAUGUUUAAAGAGCCAUGUUGGAUACUAUGAAGUUGUUACUGAAUAAAAUUAUUUAAUGUACAACAACGUACACAAUUUGUCUGUAAUGUAUUUUUGUAUCAAUUAAAAAAAAAUAAACACUGUAUAUCCAGUAUGCAAAACAUACUGGAUAUACAGUGAUUUAUGUAUUUCUUCUAAAUAAAGUAAAUUAAAAUCAAGCA